AACGAACGCUGGCGGCAUGCCUAACACAUGCAAGUCGAACGAGACCUUCGGGUCUAGUGGCGCACGGGUGCGUAACGCGUGGGAACCUGCCCUUAGGUUCGGAAUAACUCCCCGAAAGGGGUGCUAAUACCGGAUAAUGUCUUCGGACCAAAGAUUUAUCGCCUUUGGAUGGGCCCGCGUUGGAUUAGCUAGUUGGUAGGGUAAAAGCCUACCAAGGCGACGAUCCAUAGCUGGUCUGAGAGGAUGAUCAGCCACACUGGGACUGAGACACGGCCCAGACUCCUACGGGAGGCAGCAGUGGGGAAUAUUGGACAAUGGGCGAAAGCCUGAUCCAGCAAUGCCGCGUGAGUCAUGAAGGCCUUAGGGUUGUAAAGCUCUUUUACCCGGGAUGAUAAUGACAGUACCGGGAGAAUAAGCUCCGGCUAACUACGUG
rnacentral:rRNA from 1 species